UAAAGUUGUUCGUGUUUAUGACGUCGAAUAUCGACGUCAUAAACACCAAAGUUGAUCGUGUUUAUGACGUCGAAUAUCGACGUCAUAAACACCAAAG
rnacentral:miRNA from 1 species